GACGAACGCUGGCGGCGUGCUUAACACAUGCAAGUCGAACGGAAAGGCCCUGCUUGCAGGGUACUCGAGUGGCGAACGGGUGAGUAACACGUGGGUGAUCUGCCUGCACUUCGGGAUAAGCCUGGGAAACUGGGUCUAAUACCGGAUAGGAGCCAUUUUUAGUGUGAUGGUUGGAAAGUUUUUUCGGUGUAGGAUGAGCUCGCGGCCUAUCAGCUUGUUGGUGGGGUAAUGGCCUACCAAGGCGGCGACGGGUAGCCGGCCUGAGAGGGUGGACGGCCACAUUGGGACUGAGAUACGGCCCAGACUCCUACGGGAGGCAGCAGUGGGGAAUAUUGCACAAUGGGCGCAAGCCUGAUGCAGCGACGCCGCGUGGGGGAUGACGGCCUUCGGGUUGUAAACUCCUUUCGCUAGGGACGAAGCUUUUUGUGACGGUACCUAGAUAAGAAGCACCGGCUAACUACGUG
rnacentral:rRNA from 1 species